GGGGGGGUAGCUAUGGGAAAAGUAUUAUAUUUACAAUCUAAUGAAGUCUGUUUGACUCAGAUCCCCCUCU
rnacentral:tRNA from 1 species